AAACCGAUCCAAACAUAAACCGAUUUUAAAAAUAUAAACCGGUUUUAUCAAAGUGGUUUUAAAAACCAAACUGAUCCAUAUAUUUGGUUCAAUUUGGUUAUGGUUUUGAACCAUGCACACCCCUAGUAACCAGACCAAAGCAUAACCAGAGAGUUCAAACUGAAUACCUGCCGGAGACGGUGUCGGAGAUGGCGACAGUGAUGACGACGGUCACAGGUUAUGAGGUUGUUACGGCGAGUUGUUCGUCGUCGCGUGAGGCGGAGUUUGGCUAGGAAAAACGGUUGGACCUUUGGUAUAAUCGAACGGCGGUGGAGGCUCAUUAGUGCAGAAACUUUUGUGAUUAUUCUCACUUGUCGGCUUGGAUGCAGCUGUUAAUCUCGGUUCGGCUUGGUUGUCGUUUGUCUUUUGUUGCCACGUUUGAUUUUAAGUUCCUCCUUGCCGUUUUGGAUUUCUGGUGUAACAGCUGAUUUUUGGAAGUUCGCUACAAGUCGCGUUUUUGCUUGUGAGUCAUAGCAGCUUGGCUUGUAGCUGCUUGUUGUAGAUGUCGCGGCUUGUGGCCCGCGUUUUGUUUGCUUUUGGUUCCACCAAGUUUUGCUCGCACAACUUCGGAUUGUGAGGGCUGUUAUUUGGCCUUGCAGCAGCUUGUCGUUUUGGACUUACCAGAUGCGGUUCUGUUCGUUUUCGCAGCGUUUUCGUAUUGGCAGCUUUCCAUUGCUUUUCUCUUUUGCAGCUUGUUUUGCUUGUUUCUCAUGGGUAGUGUGUGUUCACAUUUCCUUUUUUUGAUUUGCAGAUGGUUGCAUUGCAGGUUUUGGAGGUGGCGCUGCAUACCGUUGUAGCUACGUUUUGAAUUAGUUUAGCAGCUGUUACUUUGGUUGGCUGUGGUGUUUUGCUGCUUUUGGCCCUAGCAGCUUACGGUAGCAGCUUGCACAGUUGGGAACUUUGUGCUACUUUUGGAUGUCGUGCUUUGAGUUGUUGUUGACAACUAUCGUUUUGGUGCCUUUGGAGCUUGGCGCCGCAGCUUUUAUCGUCAUGUUAGUUUGUAACGCAUGAGCUACAACAGCUUUCCAAUUUCCCUUUUAUUUUGUCAUGAUGUAUGACCAAAACCUCUUAGUAUUUUCGCUAAGCAGACACAAAGUGAAACAGUGUUUAGGAUUGAUUAAUUGGCCAAAGUGAAUAUUGAGGCAAAGGAUGUACAUCCAUAUUAGCAAUAGUAAAAUACUUAAACCCAAGCUCUCAAAGUUCAGUAACAAUAAUGAAGUCCAGGCUAGUUUCCCAAAACUUCCAGAUUAUUGCUUUCUAUCCGUUGUAACAUAACACCCUGCUCCAUGCCCUCGU